rnacentral:rRNA from 1 species
GGAUAACCGGGAGAAAUCCCGCCUAAUACAACAUAAUGCCGGGAGGGGACAUCCCCUGCCGGCCAAAGGGGGCGACCCCGGUCACGGAUGGGCAUGCGGCGCAUUAGGUAGUUGGUGGGGCAACGGCCCACCAAGCCGACGAUGCGUAGGGGUUCUGAGAGGAAGGUCCCCCACAUUGGAACUGAGACACGGUCCAAACUCCUACGGGAGGCAGCAGUGAGGAAUAUUGGUCAAUGGCCGGAAGGCUGAACCAGCCAAGUCGCGUGAGGGAAUAAGGCCCUACGGGUCGUAAACCUCUUUUGCCAGGGAGCAAUGCCGUCCACGUGUGGACGGAAGGAGAGUACCUGGAGAAAAAGCAUCGGCUAACUCCGUGCCAGCAGCCGCGGUAAUACGGAGGAUGCGAGCGUUAUCCGGAUUUAUUGGGUUUAAAGGGUGCGUAGGCGGCCUGCCAAGUCAGCGGUAAAAUUGCGGGGCUCAACCCCGUACAGCCGUUGAAACUGCCGGGCUCGAGUGGGCGAGAAGUAUGCGGAAUGCGUGGUGUAGCGGUGAAAUGCAUAGAUAUCACGCAGAACCCCGAUUGCGAAGGCAGCAUACCGGCGCCCUACUGACGCUGAGGCACGAAAGUGCGGGGAUCAAACAGGAUUAGAUACCCUGGUAGUCCGCACAGUAAACGAUGAAUGCUAGCUGUCCGGGGGGAUUGACCCCUGGGU